rnacentral:lncRNA from 10 species
UUCCUUUACAUUUUUCUGAAUCAUCUGGUUUUGGAAAUAUCUCUUUUAGAUAGCAUAUUGAUGGCAGAAGCAGGCCAUCCACAGCGGGAAGGUGCAGGUGGUGGUGGCAGAAGGAAUUGUGACAGCAGCAAUGGCAGCAGUGGGUCCCCUGUGCCCUGCGUUCCUGAGGCAGUGACCUGCAUUCCCGAGGCAGUGACCUGCACUGACCCCAACCUUGUGUGGCCAGGUGAAGAGAAGAAGAGAAGAGCUGCAACUCUUUGGAGAGCCCAGACCUGGAAGCUCCCUGAGCCAGGACUGUGACUUCCCCUUUAAGCCCCUGUGGUUCCUGGCAUCUCCAAGCUUCCAGGCAUCACUGCAUCCCCAGGUUCCAGCCAGGGAUGUUGUUUGGCCUGGUCCAGCUGCAGCCCUGCAGAGAGCUGGCACCCCUGCCAGCAUAUGGAGCUGCCCACCCCGUGGCAGCAGUCAGCAUGCCCCACUGUGCGGUGGCUGGACACCACACUCCCUCACACACCCCAUGCUCCUCCACAUCUGACUCCAGUCUUUCUUGGACGUAUGUGAUCCAGGCUGGCAGUGUGAGCUGAGGGUAGCCUGCCAGAUCAAGUGGGUGUAACAAGCCCAGCAGGCCCAAACAAAACUUGGGCAAUGGUGCCACUGGCCACAGGUUUCCAGCCAGAAAUGUGACACCCCAAAGAUCCCGAAACAAUAUAAUGAAUUUUUAAUUUUUAACCUGAAAAUCUUUGAUGUUUUAUUGGAGUAUAUAGUCUGUUUACAUUUAUUUAAUUUUUGAUAUCAACUUUAUUGAGGUUGUAUUAGUCUGUUCUCACACUGCUAAUAAAGACAGAACUGAGACUGGGUAAUUUAGAAAUGAAAGAGGUUUAAUUGACUCACAGUUCCACAUGGCUGGGGAGGCCUCACAAUCACAGCUAAAGGCAAAUGAGGAGCAAAGUCACGUCUUACAUGGUGGCAGGCAAGACAGAGCUUGUGCAGGGGAACUCCCAUUUAUAAAACCAUCAGGUCUCAUGAGAAUUAUUCACUAUCAUGAGAACAGUGUGGAGGAAACUGCCCCCAUGAUUCAAUUAUCUCUACCUGGCCCCACCCUUGACAUGAGGGGAUUAUUAUAAUUCAAGGUGAGAUUUGGGUGGGGAUACAGAGCCAAACCAUAUCAGAGGUAUAAUUUGAAAUCAAUAAAAUGCACAUGCUUUAAGAGUACAAUUCAAUCCAUUUAAUCACCACCACAAUUAGGAUAUAAAACAUUUUCAUGAUUCCUAAAGAUUCCUUGGUGCCCCUCCUAGUCAAUCCCUACCCUCAACCGAAACCUAAACCCAGGAAACCAUUGAUCUGCUUUCUAUCACUGUGUGUUAGACUGGUCUUUCCUAGAAUUUCUUAUAAAUAAAAUCAUACACUGAACUCUUUUUUGUCUGGGUUGUUUUGGUCAGCAUAAUGCUUUUGAGAUUCAUUCAUGUUUUUUGAUGUAUCAGUGACAUUCCUUCAAGGGUAGGUAGGAUUGUAUUUUACAGAUACCCAAUUUAUUUUUCCUUUCACCUGUUGAUAGAAAGUUGAGUUGUUUCUAGUUUGGGCUAAUAUGAAUAAAUCUCUUGUGAACAUUCUUGUGCAAGCAUGGACAUAUAUUUUAACUUAAGUAAACACCUUGAAGUAUUGUGGGAUCGUAUGUUAAGUGUAUAUUUAAUUCCACAAGAAACUACCAAACUGUUUUCAAAAGUAUUUGCAGUAUUUUACGUUUCUACCCACAAUGUAUGAGAAUUUUAAUUGUUCCAUAUCCUCACUAAUAAUAUUCUCAAUCUUUUAAAUUUUAGCCAUUCUACUGUGUGUGCAGUUUAGAUUUGCAUUAACCUAAUAAUGAUGAUCAUUUUUUCAUGUUUUUGUUCACCUUUCAUACUUAUUUUGUAUAGUAUCUGUUCAAAUCUCCUGUUUGUUUUUAAGUUGACAUAUUCUAAUUAGUUAAUUGUAAAAAUUAUACACUUAACUUAAACAUCUUUGUGAGAUAUAUGUAUUGCAAAUUUUCUCUCCUAGGCUGUUCCUUGCCUUUUUACUUCCUUAUUGAAAUCUUUCAAACAGCAGAAGUUUUUAAAUUUGAUGAAUUCCACUUUGAUUGUUUUUACAGUUUAUACUUUUAAAAAUUCCAUUCAAGAAAAAUGUUUCUUUAUGAAAAUUACAAAUAAUUUAUUCUAUAUAUCUUCCAGAAGUAUUAUAGUUUAUCUUUUACAUUUUGGUUGAUGUUACAUUUUGAGUUAAUUUUUGUGCAUGGUGUGAGGUAAGAAUUAGAGUUUUAAAAUUAAUAUGUAAUAAUUAUAGAUACGUGUGGGGUACAUGGAAUUUUUUUAUGUGACUAUCCAGUUGAUCCAGCACCAUAUGUUGAAAGUAUAAAUUAUCUUUCUUAUGGAAUUACCUUAGCUUCUUUGUCAAAAAUCAAUUGGCCAUAUGUCUGUUGGUUUAUAUCUUGAUUUCUUACACUUCCACUACCUGAUGAGAUAACUCCAGCUACACAUGACAAUUUAAAUUUACGUUAUUUACAGUUAAAUAAAUCUUGAAAUUUAGCUCCUUAGUCCCAAAAGCCACAUUUCAAGUGCUCAAUAGUCACACCUAAUUAAUGAGCUAAUUAGGACUUUAUUAGGCAGGAUAAAUAUAGAAUAUUUGCCACAUCACAGAAAGUUCUGUUGGAUAGGACUGCUGUCUGGUGUCCUAUUAUCACAUAUAUAUACAUACAUAUCCUUAAGCAAGUAUCAUACUGACUUAAUUAGUACAGGUUCAUAGUAAGUCUUGAAAUAAGGCAAAACAAUUUUUCAACAUUUUACUUUUCCAAAAUCAUUUUGGCUAUUCCACAUUCUUUGAAUUUUUAUAUUAAUUUUAGAAUCAUUUUGUCGAUUUCCAUACAUAAAAAAAGCCUGCUGGUAGUUUGACUGAAAUUGAACUAUAAAGAAUUUGAAACUAUAAACAAAUGUGGAGAGAACUGACAUAUUAACAAUAUUAAAUCUUCCUCUUCAUGAACAUAGUAUAUUGCUCCAUUUGUUUAAUUCUUUAUUAAUUUCCCUCAGCAAUGUUUUGUAGUUUUUAAUGUACAGGUCUUGUACGAAUAUUUUAAAAAUUCAUUCUCAAGUAUUUCACAUAUCUUGAUGCUAUCAUAAACAUUUUAAAAGUUUUUUCUAAAUUUGAUAUCUCAUUAUUUGUG